UAAACAAAAGCCAAAAAUUAGAGGCGCCUAUCUGUUAAUUAGGAGAAUGUAAAAUAGAUUACUUGUUUAG
rnacentral:tRNA from 1 species